rnacentral:rRNA from 1 species
AGUGAACGCUGGCGGUAGGCCUAACACAUGCAAGUCGAACGGCAGCACAGUAAGAGCUUGCUCUUACGGGUGGCGAGUGGCGGACGGGUGAGGAAUACAUCGGAAUCUACUUUUUCGUGGGGGAUAACGUAGGGAAACUUACGCUAAUACCGCAUACGACCUACGGGUGAAAGCAGGGGAUCUUCGGACCUUGCGCGAUUGAAUGAGCCGAUGUCGGAUUAGCUAGUUGGCGGGGUAAAGGCCCACCAAGGCGACGAUCCGUAGCUGGUCUGAGAGGAUGAUCAGCCACACUGGAACUGAGACACGGUCCAGACUCCUACGAGAGGCAGCAGUGGGGAAUAUUGGACAAUGGGCGCGAGCCUGAUCCAGCCAUGCCGCGUGGGUGAAGGAGACCUUCGGGUUGUAAAGACCUUUUGUUGGGAAAGAAAAGCAGCAGGUUAAUACCCCGCUGUUCUGACGGUACCCAAAGAAUAAGCACCGGCUAGCUUCGUG